AGCAGAGAGGCUCAGUGGAAAGAGCACUGGCUUGAGAGUCAGAGGUCAUGGGUUCAAAUCCCGGAUCUGCCA
rnacentral:tRNA from 1 species